rnacentral:rRNA from 1 species
USSUSRDNAGGAUCAUUACCGAGUUAGGGUCUUCUAGGCCCGACCUCCAACCCUUUGUCUACUUUACCACUUGUUGCUUCGGCGAGCCCGUCCCUAUUAUAGGGGCCGCCGGAGGUCUAGUACCUCUGGUCCGCGCUCGUCGAUAGCCUUUAUUAAACUCUUGUUUAACUAUGUCGUCUAAGUAAAAAGCACUUAAUUAAUUAAAACUUUCAACAACGGAUCUCUUGGUUCUGGCAUCGAUGAAGAACGCAGCGAAAUGCGAUAAGUAAUGCGAAUUGCAGAAUCCGUGAGUCAUCGAAUCUUUGAACGCACAUUGCGCCCUUUGGUAUUCCGAAGGGCAUGCCUGUUCGAGCGUCAUUAUCACCUCUCAAGCCUGGCUUGCUGUUGGACUCUAGGUCUAGUUUUAACUACACCAGUCCCAAAGAUAAUGACGGCGUCUGUGAGGACCCCAGUACAUUGAGCUUUCAUAGCACGUAUUAGGUGGAAGCCCAGGCCCGGUCUUAACUAUUUUAUUACUAAGGUUGACCUC